rnacentral:rRNA from 1 species
GACGAACGCUGGCGGCGUGCUUAACACAUGCAAAUCGAACGGUAAGGCCCUUCGGGGUACACGAGUGGCGAACGGGUGAGUAACACGUGGGUGAUCUGCCCUGCACUUCGGGAUAAGCCUGGGAAACUGGGUCUAAUACCGGAUAGGACCACUGCCUGCAUGGGUGGUGGUGGAAAGCUUUUGCGGUGUGGGAUAGGCCCGCGGCCUAUCAGCUUGUUGGUGGGGUGAUGGCCUACCAAGGCGACGACGGGUAGCCGGCACGGGAGGGUGACCGGCCACACUGGGACUGAGAUACGGCGCGGGCUCCGACGGGAGGCAGGAGUGGGGAAUAUUGCACAAUGGGCGCAAGCCUGAUGCAGCGACGCCGCGUGAGGGAUGACGGCCUUCGGGUUGUAAACCUCUUUCAGCACCGACGAAGCGCAAGUGACGGUAGGUGCAGAAGAAGGACCGGCCAACUACGUGCCAGCAGCCGCCGUAA